GACGAACGCUGGCGGCGUGCUUAACACAUGCAAGUCGAACGGAAAGGCCCUGCGUUUGUGGGGUGCUCGAUUGGCGAACGCGGGAGUAACACGUGAGUAACCUGCCCCUGACUUUGGGAUAAUUUCAGGAAACUGGGGCUAUUAUCGCGUAGGAGCUCCUGCUCCAUGGUGGGGGUUGGAAAGUUUCGGCGUUUGGGGAUGGACUCGCGGCUUAUCGGCUUGUUGGUGGGGUAGGGGCUUACCAAGGCUUUGACGGGUAGCCGGCCUGAGAGGGUGGACGGCCACAUUGGGACUGAGAGACGGCGCAGACUCCUACGGGAGGCAGCAGGGGGGAAUAUUGCACAAUGGGCGGAAGUCUGAUGCAGCAACGCCGCGUGCGGGAUGACGGCCUUCGGGUUGUAAACCGCUUUCGCCUGUGACGAAGCGUGAGUGACGGUAAUGGGUAAAGAAGCACCGGCUAACUACGUG
rnacentral:rRNA from 1 species